GGGUUGUGAGGUUAAGCGACUAAGCGUACACGGUGGAUGCCUAGGCAGUCAGAGGCGAUGAAGGGCGUGCUAAUCUGCGAUAAGCGUCGGUAAGCUGAUAUGAAGCGUUAUACCCGACGAUACCCGAAUGGGGAAACCCAGUGUGUUUCGACACACUAUCAUGACAUGAAUACAUAGUGUCAUGAGGCGAACCGGGGGAACUGAAACAUCUCAGUACCCCGAGGAAAAGAAAUCAACCGAGAUUCCCCCAGUAGCGGCGAGCGAACGGGGAGGAGCCCAGAACCUGAAUCAGUUUGUGUGUUAGUGGAAGCGUCUGGAAAGUCGCACAGUAAAGGGUGAUAGUCCCGUACACAAAAAUGCACAAGUUGUGAGUUCGAUGAGUAGGGCGGGACACGUGACAUCCUGUCUGAAUAUGGGGGGACCAUCCUCCAAGGCUAAAUACUCCUGACUGACCGAUAGUGAACCAGUACCGUGAGGGAAAGGCGAAAAGAACCCCGGCGAGGGGAGUGAAAUAGAACCUGAAACCGUGUACGUACAAGCAGUGGGAGCCUACUUGUUAGGUGACUGCGUACCUUUUGUAUAAUGGGUCAGCGACUUAUAUUCUGUAGCAAGGUUAACCGUAUAGGGGAGCCGCAGGGAAACCGAGUCUUAACUGGGCGUUAAGUUGCAGGGUAUAGACCCGAAACCCGGUGAUCUAGCCAUGGGCAGGUUGAAGGUUGGGUAACACUAACUGGAGGACCGAACCGACUAAUGUUGAAAAAUUAGCGGAUGACUUGUGGCUGGGGGUGAAAGGCCAAUCAAACCGGGAGAUAGCUGGUUCUCCCCGAAAGCUAUUUAGGUAGCGCCUCGUGAAUUCAUCUUCGGGGGUAGAGCACUGUUUCGGCUAGGGGGUCAUCCCGACUUACCAACCCGAUGCAAACUACGAAUACCGAAGAAUGUUAUCACGGGAGACACACGGCGGGUGCUAACGUUCGUCGUGAAGAGGGAAACAACCCAGACCGCCAGCUAAGGUCCCAAAGUCAUGGUUAAGUGGGAAACGAUGUGGGAAGGCAUAGACAGCCAGGAUGUUGGCUUAGAAGCAGCCAUCAUUUAAAGAAAGCGUAAUAGCUCACUGGUCGAGUCGGCCUGCGCGGAAGAUGUAACGGGGCUAAACCAUGCACCGAAGCUGCGGCAGCGACACGUAGUGUUGUUGGGUAGGGGAGCGUUCUGUAAGCCUGCGAAGGUGGCCUGUGAGGGCUGCUGGAGGUAUCAGAAGUGCGAAUGCUGACAUAAGUAACGAUAAUGCGGGUGAAAAACCCGCACGCCGGAAGACCAAGGGUUCCUGUCCAACGUUAAUCGGGGCAGGGUGAGUCGACCCCUAAGGCGAGGCUGAAAAGCGUAGUCGAUGGGAAACAGGUUAAUAUUCCUGUACUCGGUGUUACUGCGAAGGGGGGACGGAGAAAGCUAGGUUAUCCGGGCGACGGUUGUCCCGGUUUAAGCGUGAAGGUGGGUGACUUUGGUAAAUCCGGGUCAUCGUUAACACUGAGGCGUGAUGACGAGUCACUACGGUGAUGAAGUAACCGAUGCUACGCUUCCAGGAAAAGCCUCUAAGCUCCAGGUAACAUCAAAUCGUACCCCAAACCGACACAGGUGGUCAGGUAGAGAAUACUCAGGCGCUUGAGAGAACUCGGGUGAAGGAACUAGGCAAAAUGGUGCCGUAACUUCGGGAGAAGGCACGCUGAUGGUAGGUGAAGUGACUUGCUCAUGGAGCUGAAAUCAGUCGAAGAUACCAGCUGGCUGCAACUGUUUAAUAAAAACACAGCACUGUGCAAACACGAAAGUGGACGUAUACGGUGUGACGCCUGCCCGGUGCCGGAAGGUUAAUUGAUGGGGUCAGCCGCAAGGCGAAGCUCUUGAUCGAAGCCCCGGUAAACGGCGGCCGUAACUAUAACGGUCCUAAGGUAGCGAAAUUCCUUGUCGGGUAAGUUCCGACCUGCACGAAUGGCGUAAUGAUGGCCAGGCUGUCUCCACCCGAGACUCAGUGAAAUUGAACUCGCUGUGAAGAUGCAGUGUACCCGCGGCAAGACGGAAAGACCCCGUGAACCUUUACUAUAGCUUGACACUGAACCUUGAGCCUUGAUGUGUAGGAUAGGUGGGAGGCUUUGAAGCGUGGACGCCAGUCUGCGUGGAGCCAACCUUGAAAUACCACCCUUUAAUGUUUGAUGUUCUAACGUGGACCCGUAAUCCGGGUUGCGGACAGUGUCUGGUGGGUAGUUUGACUGGGGCGGUCUCCUCCCAAAGCGUAACGGAGGAGCACGAAGGUUAGCUAAUCCUGGUCGGACAUCAGGAGGUUAGUGCAAAGGCAUAAGCUAGCUUGACUGCGAGAGUGACAGCUCGAGCAGGUGCGAAAGCAGGUCUUAGUGAUCCGGUGGUUCUGAAUGGAAGGGCCAUCGCUCAACGGAUAAAAGGUACUCCGGGGAUAACAGGCUGAUACCGCCCAAGAGUUCAUAUCGACGGCGGUGUUUGGCACCUCGAUGUCGGCUCAUCACAUCCUGGGGCUGAAGUAGGUCCCAAGGGUAUGGCUGUUCGCCAUUUAAAGUGGUACGCGAGCUGGGUUUAGAACGUCGUGAGACAGUUCGGUCCCUAUCUGCCGUGGGCGUUGGAAGAUUGAGAGGGGUUGCUCCUAGUACGAGAGGACCGGAGUGAACGCACCACUGGUGUACGGGUUGUGAUGCCAAUUGCAUUGCCCGGUAGCUAAGUGCGGAAGAGAUAACCGCUGAAAGCAUCUAAGCGGGAAACUUGCCUCGAGAUGAGUCUUCCCUGGNCCCUGAAGGGCCGUUGAAGACGACGACGUAGAUAGGCUGGGUGUGUAAGCGUAGCGAUACGUUGAGCUAACCAGUACUAAUGACCCGAGAGGCUUAACCUUACAACACCGAAGGUGUUU
rnacentral:rRNA from 2 species